CGGGUGAGUAACACGUGGGUAACCUGCCCGGAAGUGGGGAAUACCUCGGGGAAACUCGAGCUAAUGCCGCAUAAAAUCUCCGGGACGAAAGUCCUGGCGAUCAAAGCGGGGUCGCAAGAUCUCGCGCUACCGGAUGGGCCCGCGCCCGAUUAGCUAGUUGGUGAGGUAAUGGCUCACCAAGGCAACGAUCGGUAGCCGGCCUGAGAGGGUGAUCGGCCACACCGGAACUGAGACACGGUCCGG
rnacentral:rRNA from 1 species